CGAACCGUACGAACGUUAUUCGGAAUCACUGGGCUUAAAGGGUGCGUAGGCGGCCAUGUAAGUGAGGUGUGAAAUCCCUCGGCUCAACCGAGGAACUGCGCUUCAUACUGCAUGGCUUGAGGGAGACAGGGGUCAGCGGAACUGAUGGUGGAGCGGUGAAAUGCGUUGAUAUCAUCAGGAACACCGGUGGCGAAAGCGGCUGACUGGGUCUCUUCUGACGCUGAGGUACGAAAGCUAGGGUAGCGAACGGGAUUAGAUACCCCGGUAGUCCUAGCUGUAAACGAUGAGCACUUAUCUGGGGAUCCUCCCAUAGGUUCCCGGAUGUAGCGAAAGUGUUAAGUGCUCCGCCUGGGGAGUAUGGUCGCAAGGCUG
rnacentral:rRNA from 1 species